rnacentral:rRNA from 1 species
AUUGAACGCUGGCGGCAGGCCUAACACAUGCAAGUCGAACGAGUGGCGGACGGGUGAGUAAUGUCUGGGAAACUGCCCGAUGGAGGGGGAUAACUACGGGAACCGGUGACUAAAACCGCAUACACUCGGAUGUGCCCAGAUGGGAUUAGCUAGUAGGUGGGGUAAAGGCUCACCUAGGCGACGAUCCCUAGCUGGUCUGAGAGGAUGACCAGCCACACUGGAACUGAGACACGGUCCAGACUCCUACGGGAGGCAGCAGUGGGGAAUAUUGCACAAUGGGCGCAAGCCUGAUGCAGCCAUGCCGCGUGUAUGAAGAAGGCCUUCGGGUUGUAAAGUACUUUCAGCGGGGAGGCGUUACCCGCAGAAGAAGCACCGGCUAACUCCGUGCCAGCAGCCGCGGUAAUUC